rnacentral:lncRNA from 1 species
UGCAAUGGUUAAUUUUAAGUAUGGGACCUUUCACCAAUGCACUUAUGCAAUGGUCAUCUUUAAGUAAGGGUCCUUUCACUGACGCACUUAUGCAAUGGUCAUCUUUAAGUAUGGGCUUUCACCGAUGCACUUAUGUCAAGGUUAUCUUUAAGUAUGGGCCCUUUCACUGGUGUACUUAUGCAUGGUCAUCUUUAAGCAUGUCCCCUUUCACCGAUGCACUUAUGAAAUGGUCAUCUAUAAGUAUGGAACCUUUCACUGAUGCACUUAUGCAAUGGUAAUUUUUAGGCAUGGGACAUUUCACCGAUGCACUUAUGAAAUAGUCAUCUUUAAGUUGGGACCCUUUCACUGAAGCACUUAUGCAAUGGUCAUCUUUAAGAAUGAAUCCUUUCACCUAUAUGCUUAUGCAAUGAUCAUCUUUAUGUAUGGGUCCUUUCACCGAUGCACUUAUGUAAUGGUCAUCUUUAAGUAUGGUCCUUUUACAUAAAAAUCCAUCCAACUUAUGGUGCAAAAGGACAAAUAUUGUCCACCUUAAGGCAUGGAAAUUUUGAGAUAUUUUUAAGAAUAAACUUGUGAGAGGCCAGCUUAAGGUGCAAAAAGAUAAUUUUUUCCACCUUAAGCAUGGAAAUUUUGAGAUCCUUUUAAGGAUAAGCACGUGAAAAAACUAGCUUAAGGUGCAACAGGAAAAAUUUUGUCCACCUUAUGGUAUGGAAAGUUUGAGAUCCUUUUAUGAAUAAAUCCUUG